AUGACUCUAUAUUUUCAUAAAGUACUGUAUUAUGAGUGUGUGUUUCAACGAGAAAAGAUGAUCUGAGAGCCAAGUGUUCCAAGUUAUUUUUCAAAAACCUUUUUAGGGUUCUGUCUUAAAAAAAGAAAACAAAAAUAAACAAAAGGCAUUUGUAAUGGCCAUCAAUCCUACGUGAAUUUUGGCUAUUCCUAACCCCCUGCGAAUAGCAUGGGUCCAUCUCCCCCCUUUAUUUUCAAGAAAAGACAUUUAAUUUUAUUCCUCCAGAAUGUGACUUUAAUAUGAUUUGCAACAUUUGUGAAGCAAAGGUCGAUGCGCUGUGUUUGCAAGAUUCACAUGAACUCGGUGCUCUAAUGCCACAUUGUUGCCCUAUAGUAUGUCACCACGAUCCAGAGUUCAGGGACACCCUGUACAUACAACGCCUUCGGUUCCUAUUAUUAAGACUGCCCUUAUCCUCGCCACUCACUGCAGCAUGUGACCCAUUUUCGCUCAGAGAGACGAGCUGGAGCAACCUCAAACCGUCACAAGCUGGAGUGGAGGGCGUGCCUCUUCAGCAGGUGCCACCUGUGCCUUGUCACCAAUCACAAUCAAACCUUGGAACAAUUUAGAGCAGGCAUGUCCAGCUCCGGGGCUGGAGGGCCACGGUCCUGCCUGUUUUCCAGCUCUCCCGCCUGCAACACACCUGAUUCAGGAAGGCUGGAGCAGGAAUCGAACCCUACACCUCUGCCCCGUGAGACAUACGUGCCAGUUGACCACCGGGCCGUCCAUUUUGUAAACAUGUAUGUUUAUGUUUGCUCC